GAUGAACGCUGGCGGCGUGCUUAACACAUGCAAGUCGAACGGAAAGGCCGAAGCUUGCUUCGGUACUCGAGUGGCGAACGGGUGAGUAACACGUGGGUGAUCUGCCCUGUACUUCGGGAUAAGCUUGGGAAAUUGGGUCUAAUACCGGAUAUGACGAUCUCUUGGAUGGGGUUGUGGAAAGCUUUUGCGGUAUGGGAUGAGCUCGCGGCCUAUCAGCUUGUUGGUGGGGUAAUGGCCUACCAAGGCGUCGACGGGUAGCCGGCCUGAGAGGGUGUACGGCCACAUUGGGACUGAGAUACGGCCCAGACUCCUACGGGAGGCAGCAGUGGGGAAUAUUGCACAAUGGGCGCAAGCCUGAUGCAGCGACGCCGCGUGGGGGAUGACGGCCUUCGGGUUGUAAACUCCUUUCGCAAUCGACGAAGCCUUUUGGUGACGGUAGGUUGAGAAGAAGCACCGGCUAACUACGUG
rnacentral:rRNA from 1 species